CUACGGGGCGCAGCAGUGGGGAAUAUUGCACAAUGGGGGAAACCCUGAUGCAGCAACGCCGCGUGGAGGAUGACACAUUUCGGUGCGUAAACUCCUUUUAUAUAAGAAGAUAAUGACGGUAUUAUAUGAAUAAGCACCGGCUAACUCCGUGCCAGCAGCCGCGGUAAUACGGGGGGUGCAAGCGUUACUCGGAAUCACUGGGCGUAAAGAGCAUGUAGGCUGGUUUGUAAGUUGGAAGUGAAAUCCUAUGGCUUAACCAUAGAACUGCUUCCAAAACUACUUACCUAGAAUAUGGGAGAGGUAGAUGGAAUUUCUGGUGUAGGGGUAAAAUCCGUAGAGAUCAGAAGGAAUACCGAUUGCGAAGGCGAUCUACUGGAACAUUAUUGACGCUCAGAUGCGAAAGCGUGGGGAGCAAACAGGAUUAGAUACCCCUGUAGUC
rnacentral:rRNA from 1 species